GGCACUAGCGUGAAAUCAUUCUCAGGCUCUCGUUGUUUACUCAUACCUCCUCCUGACUUAGAAAGACUCUGCAGUUAUCAUCACAUUAUCAAACAUUAGAACAUUUAAGGCAGAUUCAAGGAGCUAAAACAUUAGAACAUUUGCCAUUUUUUUUCUUUGUCUUCUAAAAUUAUUAUUUUGUGAGGAAACGAAAAUUGUCACUGAAUAAAACAAAAAGAAAUUUAGUGAAAAACAUUUUGUAAGAAACUAGAUUUAGGUGCUGUUCGUUUUGUAAACUAGACGCAUUAUCUGGACGCAGAUGCAUGUUGAUGUUCGUUUAAUGGUAAUUAACAACAUGAACUGUUUUUUGUAUCUGGAAGCGUUUCUAAAACUCAUUCACAAAAAUCUAAAUUUCUGGAUGAGAUUUUUUGAAGAGUCGGGCUACAGUAAACUCAUCCCAAACAUUUAAAAGUCGAAAAUACCCCUUAUUAAUUACAAAACACAAAACCUAUUCUUCGCCGUCUCUUCUUCGCUUCUUCUCCUCUCUUUGCAUCGUCUCUUCCCCUCUUCACUUCUCUGCUCAUCUCAAACUCAUCAUGAUUCCAAAAUUCACAAUCUCAUCUUGAUUUCUCCUUCAGUCAUCUAUGGAGAUUCUUCUAAGCUUAGAUCGAUCCUCUUUUGAAUCUAUCCCGGUGGUAAGUGUUUUUGUUUUUUCCUCUCUUUACUUUAUGAUGUGUGAUGCUUUCUCAUUGUUUCCUUUGGAUCUGCUGCUUAAUUUUAUACUGUGUAUGUGCUUAAUUUUUAAAAACUCUCAUCUGGGUUUGUGGAAAGUUUGUAGCUUAGGUUACUCUCAUCUGGGGUUUGUGGAAAGUUUGUAGCUUAGGUUAAUUUCAACAUGAAAUUCAUAUACGCUUUUGUGGGAGUUCCCGGUAGAGCUCAUGACACAAAGGUGUUGACACAUUGUGCUACUCAUGAACCUUCCUUUCCUCAUCCACCAAACGGAAAAUACUAUCUAGUUGAUUCAGACAUGCGAGUUUGCGUUCGUUGAUAGAGAGAACAUUUGGUGUAUGGAAAGCGAAGUGGAGGAUCUUAGAUAGAAAAAAUCCUAAGUAAGAGCUGAAAAAGUGGAUUAAAAUUGUGACAGCAACUAUGGCUCUUCACAAUUUUAUUCGAGAUUCACAUCAUGAAGACCGUGAUUUUGCUCACUGGGAGGCGGUAGAUGGUUAUGAGGAUCAUGGUGACCAAGCUGUAGAACAUGAAGCAGAAGGUAAUAUUGAACAUACUCCAUAUGUUCCAGCGGGUGAUAGAGCAAUGGAGACUCUACGUGAUAUUAUAACUGAAAAGAUAGCGAGAGGACGUCAACUUCCAUAUUAGGAUCACAACAGGUUAAAAAAUGUCUUUUGUAUAAUUACAAAAAUAUAUUUUUUUACGUAAUGGGCUAUUAAUUCACUUGUAUUCUAAGCUAUCUUUGUUUAUUUUCUGCAAAUAUUUCACUUUCAUCUAUCGUGGAAGAGCAAAAAUUGGAGCAUGAUUUUGUUUGAUGAA